rnacentral:rRNA from 1 species
GACGAACGCUGGCGGCGUGCUUAACACAUGCAAGUCGAACGAUGAAGCCGGAGCUUGCUCUGGUGAAUUAGUGGCGAACGGGUGAGUAACACGUGAGUAACCUGCCCUUGACUCUGGGAUAACUGCUAGAAAUGGUAGCUAAUACCGGAUACGACCCUCGGAGGCAUCUUCAGGGGGUGGAAAGAAUUGCGGUGAAGGAUGGACUCGCGGCCUAUCAGCUAGUUGGUGAGGUAACGGCGCACCAAGGCGACGACGGGUAGCCGGCCUGAGAGGGUGGCCGGCCACACUGGGACUAAGACACGGCCCAGACUCCUACGGGAGGCAGCAGUGGGGAAGAUUGCACAAUGGGCGCAAGCCUGAUGCAGCAACGCCGCGUGAGGGAUGACGGCCUUCGGGUUGUAAACCUCUUUUAGUAGGGAAGAAGCGAAAGUGACGGUACCUGCAGAAAAAGCACCGGCUAACUACGUGCCAGCAGCCGCCGCAG